GGCAAUUCACAGUCUGUAGGUUGCA
rnacentral:siRNA from 1 species